UAAAUGUGAUGAUUAUCAAACCAGGGCGGUGGUAAUGGCGCUGAUGAUCUCAGUCAAGGUAAAAGAGUUAGAAUUAGCAACUCCAGCUCAAGUCAAUUUCGGCAGAAAUUUGCUGAUUUG
rnacentral:misc_RNA from 1 species